CACGCCCUCCUCGGUUGAUUUCCUCCGGGAAAGGAGUCACAGUUUUUGGUCGCUUGUUCAGGCUGUGGAUAGGCUACUAAGCAUAACCAAGAUGGCUUCCAGGUACAAUGGAAUGGCCUGGCCGCCUUGCACCGGUACGCUGUGGAAAAAAAGGACACAGGUCCUGCGGUCAGUCGGAAGCAAAAGUGUUUCAGUAAUAGCACCACAUCUUGGCUCAACAACUUGGCAUGGUCCGUGGAAAAAAGAUUCGUGUCUGCACGUAAAAAAUUAAAGAUAAGCAGGUUACCCGGGUCCCCGUCGAUUUACGCCAGCUGCAGCUAAAGACAUGCGCAAUUGAAUAAUUCUAACGUGGUUCGAGUUUCUUUUCUUUUGAAACCCUUUGCUACUAAAGAGUGACCAGCACUUGAUUUCUCUAAACAGCAUCACUGCCGAAUCAAACGCUUACGUCAUUAUAAUAAAGGAACUGAUCACCAACUAAAGAAGCUCUUGACUGU